CGUGUCCUGGGGGAGGAGCUCAGCCCUGGAAUCUGAGAGGUGGAGACGGAGGACCUUGGCGACUUCCAGGCCAGCCUGGGGUACAUGGGACCCCAUCUCUGAAAGGAAAGAAAGUUUGUAAUCGCUUGAAGGAUGUUUGGACCACGCGCUCCUAGUUUCUGGUUCAGCACAUGCAGGUUGCAGUCGGUCAUCAGAAGCCAAUGAGGGAAUCUGGAGGCAGGAUCUGAAGAAGCCUUGGAGGAAUGCUGCUCUCCGACUUGCUCUCCAUGGCUUGCUCGGCUUUUUUGUUUUUUAUACCACCCAGGAUCACCUACUGAGAGAUGGCACUGCCCACAGUGGGCCCAGCCCUCCCACAUAAAUCAUUUUUGAAGAAAAUGCCCCACAGGCUUGCCUACAGACAGUCUGAUAGCGGCAUUUUCUCGUUUGACUGGCCCCUCUUCCCAGAGGACUCUAGUUUGUGUCAAGUUGACAAAACAAACAAACAGCACAGUGUUCUGUUGCUGUGAUAAAACACUGCUUGAAAGCAA